rnacentral:rRNA from 1 species
GAUGAACGCUGGCGGCGUGCCUAAUACAUGCAAGUCGAGCGAACAGACGAGGAGCUUGCUCCUCUGACGUUAGCGGCGGACGGGUGAGUAACACGUGGAUAACCUACCUAUAAGACUGGGAUAACUUAGGGAAACCGGAGCUCAUACCGGGUAAUAUAUUGAACCGCAUGGUUCAAUAGUGAAAGACGGUUUUGCUGUCACUUAUAGAUGGAUCCGCGCUGCAUUAGCUAGUUGGUAAGGUAACGGCUUACCAAGGCAACGAUGCGUAGCCGACCUGAGAGGGGGAUCGGCCACUAUGGAGCUGAGACACGGUCCAGGCUCUGACGGGAGGCAGAAGUAGGGAAGCUUGCGCAAGGGGCGAAAGCUUGACGGAGCAACGCCGCGGGAGUGAAGAAGGUCUGCGGAUCGUAAAACUCUGUUAUUAGGGAAGAACAAAUGUGUAAGUAACGAUGCGCGUCUGAAAGUGACCGAAGCAGAAAGCCACGGCUAACUAGGG